rnacentral:lncRNA from 1 species
UAUGGAUGGCCUUGUAGGUCAGGGUGACAAGGGAAGACUCCUUCAAAGCCAUACUAAAUAAACAAAUUUGUUCUAAACAAAUUUAGCUUUAAGCAAAUUUCCCAGCCCUUCUUUAUGAUGCAAUUUAUAACACUAGAAAUCUUUGAUUUAGAAGUUCUGAAACAUCAACUCAUUAAAACUUUUCCAGAAGAAAUUGACUAUUUUUAAAAUAGUCAAUCUUCCUUCUUGGUUAGACAAUAUUUACUGUGAGCUAUAUGCUGUUGGUACCAAAAGACAGGUGAGACAGAAGAUACCCUUUGAAGAGCAGUAAUCCUAUAUGGAAGGUAAACAGCAGUAGGUAAUAAGAACAUAUGGAGGUACAAAGUGCUGUCAAAAUUAGAAGCCAGAUAAAUAAGAGCUGGUUGAAGUGAUCAGGGAGGUCUGCUGGAGAGACUGGCUUUUGUAAUGCUUUGUAGUCUUUUGGAGAGCAUCUUUUUAAUCUUCAUUACUUGUCUUCAACAGAUAUUUUCAUACAUGGAUUUACUACAAGAACAGGUGGGAUAUCUUAUAUAACAACUCUUAGCUCCUUCAAUCUCUUCAGUAGUUCCAAACGAAGAGAUCCCAAGGUAGUUGUUCAAGAAAAUCUACAUAGGUUGGCAAAUACUGC